rnacentral:rRNA from 1 species
UACAGAGGGUGCGAGCGUUGUUCGGAAUUAUUGGGCGUAAAGGGCGCGUAGGCGGUGCCACAAGUCACCUGUGAAAUCUCCUGGCUCAACUGGGAGCUUGCAGGCGAAACUGUGGUGCUGGAGUGUGGGAGAGGUGCGUGGAAUUCCCGGUGUAGCAGUGAAAUGCGUAGAGAUCGGGAGGAACACCAGUGGCGAAGGCGGCUACCUGGACCAGCACUGACACUGAGGCACGAAAGCGUGGGGAGCAAACGGGG